GCCCAAGAAAGAGGACCGUGACAACAACAGCGAUACGAAAAACAUACAGACAGCCAGUAUCCACACUUACUGAACUACUGUCACAGCCCUAUAAAAGGAGAACCAAAAAAAGCACGGGUUACUGGUGGUGCCUGUAGACCGGACAGACAGGAAGUUGGCCAUUUUGGAGAGCAGGAACAGCAAAACAACAAUACACACAGAACCCCCUAAAAAAGAGGUGCUGUCAAUUGAAAGAGACUUUGAAUGAGGGGGAAAAAAAGAUUUCCGAAAGGCUGUGAGAAUAAAAGCAUUGGAAGGCGAUCAACAGAUGUGAUAAUGAUGGGAAGGUGUACAUUCAGACUGAGAGAACAAGGUCUUAAAGGAUGAAAUUUACAAAUGGAGGUCUCAGGAGAGUCUGAAAAUAUUAGCGAGAAACUGCGAAAGCAUGAAGAUGACAAGUUUUAACAAACAUUUAUCUGAUCCUCUGUUCCAGAACAGAGACGUUAAGGGAUGGUGUUGACACAAUGGAUAUGCACUUUCCACAUAAAAGCUUUCAAAGUCUUAUAAAUCAAUAUUUUCAUAUACAGAAGGUAACACGUUUACAUAUCUUUGAUGUCAGGUGUCCUUCCUUAAACCUGAACCAACUGAAAAAAUAAAUAAAUACAUGAACACCAAUAAAAAA